UUCUUACUGUUUCCCUCACCUGGUGGUCACCUCCAUGUUUUCCUGCCCAUUAUCUCCACAACAACUCAACCUCCUUCGUAGUGCUCACAAUUUCAAUUUGCCGUCGGUUGUCUUAGGUCUCCUCCUCAUCCAUAAAGCUGUCACCCCAACCCACAACGUACAUCCCCAAAUCAAAACGCAAAAGUGGAGAGAUCAGAGGUCCUCUUCCCCCUCAGACGCCAUAUGCACCUCCUCACCCGUCAGUACAAUCAAUGACGUUUUAAAAGUUCAAGACUGUGAUUUAAAAAAUAGAUGAUGGUCUCUUAGUCUUCAUCUCCCUUUCCCUCUUUUCUGAAUCCCUCUCCUCUUAAUCACUUGAAGAAAGUGUUGAAGAAGAAUAAGUGGGCACUGCAUGAACAGGUGCUUCUCAAAAUGCUACAAGCUCAACCGGGCUGCUGAACUUCAUAAUUUGUCUAAAUGGUGUGCAAGGGUUGUGUGGUGUUGCCGAGUUUCUACUGAAAGGAUGUGUGGAAGUUAAUCUAAAGGAUUGAUGAGCGUCAGAUAUGUAUACUGCUAUCCGAGGCAUAACACGACUCUUAGAUCUGAGGAAUAACCAUAAAACAUGAAGAGUAACCGCUGUCUCACCGUGCUCCAUGGCUUGGCAUGUGGUGAGUCAGAUCCGGACGUGGUAUUUCGGUACGGAUACGCGUAAUUUACUGCUUAAAUCAAAUCAAGAAUUUUAUAGUGGUUAAAGAGGGUCUAGAGGCUGCUUUUGCUUCCUAUUUUAGGGUGAAACUAGGGUGGAUACGAAAGCUUUCGAACUCUUUGAGGUUAAAUUAUCAUUAUAUUUUAUCACAUUAUAUUAGGCUCUUUAACUAUUUAACAUGCUAAAAAUGAUUUUGAGCCACCGAUGGAGUUCUAAAUUGAACUUUUUAAUAUUGAUAAAAAAAAUUAAUCAGUUUGUAAAAACGGUGAUAUCAACAUUUUGUUUGUAUAGAGAGGGAGACACACACAUGUUUAUCAUUCUCUCUAGCUAUAUUAUUUUUUUUAUUUAA